GGUCUUGUAGCACAGUGGUUAGUGCUUUGUACUUAUGGGCUACAUUUAUGCAAGGGUCGCGAGUUCAAAUCUCGCCAAGACCA
rnacentral:tRNA from 1 species